GACCGCUUAGCUCAGUGGUAGAGCGUGUGAUUCCAGCUCGGUGGUACAUCCACAAGGUCGUCCGUUCAAUCCGGGCAGUGGUCA